AGAGCCCACAGAUCCUGCCGGGAUGAUCCUGCCCCUGCUCAUCAUCGUGGUUUCCCUUGGGGCUCGCACGAAUGGUCAGCUAGAACUGCAGCAACCCAAAGCCCCCGUCAUCAAGAAAAAGGGCAGCACGGCCUUCCUCGACUGCAAAGUGCAGGGGACUGAUUUUGCCAGUGCUUACAUUCACUGGUACCGCCAGAGAGCCAACCAGGCCCCCGAGCGGAUCCUCUACCUCUCAACAAAUGGCCAAGUUAAUUUUGACCAACAGCAGUAUAAACAGAAGUUUGAAGCCACCAAAAGGAACAGCGAUUCCACUUGUACCCUAAGAAUUCUUAAACUGGACGAAAAGGAUGUAGGGACCUAUUACUGUGCCAGCUGGAAACACAGUGUCAGAGAGCCCAGAUCUGCUGUACAAAAAACCCUUCUUGUGUCUCUGCCCCCUGGCAUCUGGCAUCCGCAGCCACCGUCUCAGCCCCUCCCUCCUUCUUGCCACCUCAGCUCACGACAGGUUGGGACCUCGAACCCCUGACUAUGUGGCUGCCAUAGAGAGGCGACAGGGGAG